CAAACUGAAUAACUUUUCUGGUUUUUUAGAUGAAUUAUUAAUGUAAGUUAUAGAUAAAAUAGACAUAGUCAUUUGUACUUUAUUUACCUCCACCAUGUUUAAUUCAUUAUUAUUUCAAUUUAUGAUAUGUAAAUAAAUAUAUAAUAACCAAAUAGAAACCUAGUAUUUUCUUCUUAUUAUUUUGAUAUCCGUAUAUAUAUAUACUUUAUACUUUAAUAUUUAACUAAAUUUACAAAUUAUAAUUUAUUAGACACGUGUUUCAUGGACAUGGACAGAAAAGUAUGUUUUCAAAUUUUAUGUUUUGUUUUUUUUUAAGAUAUAUAUGACAAAAAAAUAUAAUAAAGUAGUUUUUUUAUUAUCUAUACUGUGAUAUCCACUUUGAUAUAAUUUUGUGAUAUUUUAAUUUUCUCUAUAUAUUUUCUAUUUUAAUUUUUUUAUAUAUAAC
rnacentral:lncRNA from 1 species